rnacentral:lncRNA from 1 species
GAUGUGUCAUGGUGCUAUUGGUGUUUUUUCAUCGAAGAAAGAGAGGAAACGGGUGUUCUGAGGUGUGGUAGUAGAUUUUCACUAGGGGCGGAUGCACUAGUUCGUUUGGAUUUGUUGGACGACUAGAAGACUAUUCCCGAUGGUUCGAUGGCUAAAUGGCAAAGUGGUAAGCUAACAAAGGUGAAUAGGAGAGAGAGAGAGAGAAAGAAGAGAAGUGGACAGUUGGGUGGUAGCUGUGGUUGGUUAAACUAGUUGGGCAUCAAUUUCCGUAAAUCAAUGAUCAGAGAGAGAGAAAGAGAGAGUGUGGAAAGAGGUGGGUUAUGUGACUACGUGUAAAGAAAGGGGUUAGGGAUUUUGGUGUUAUUUAUAGGAAAAAUGAAUUUAAUCUUAGUCGUCGAUCACAUGGGAUCGACAAUUGUGAGUAAAAUUAUGAGGGGAGAUUAAAACUUAUUUAAGCAUUAAAAUUGAACAAAACUGAACACAAAAUAGGAUAAAAUUGACAUCAGUUAGAUAUAAAAGUGGCUAGAAAUUAAAUAAAUUGAAUAUAAUUGAAUGGAAUUGGAGAAAUGAUGAGAUGAAUCUUUGUACUUGUCUGUGGUUUUAAUGUGGACACUUCUAAUUAAUUUUUUGUCAUCUGAACCCUUAAACUCAUUAAAAAAUUAUAUUUUAAACCCUUUCUGAUCCGAUUAAUAUGAGUGUAAAACAAUAUACUAUAGAUGGUAUGCCACAUCAUUUUUAAAUGUCACGUAAGGAAUUAAAUAUUAAUAACACAUAAAAAAUAUAGAUAACAUUUAAAAAAAAAACUUUCCCUUCCCCUUCAUUUUUUGUCUUCUUCAUACUCCCCACCCUUAACCCAACUACACCCACUUCAACCUCUCAUAAUACUUUCUCAACCCUAUAACUUUAAUUAGUUCGCCAUUAAUCUAAAAAGGAAAAAUAGUUCGAUGGACCCUUGUAAUUGGUCUGAUUUGUAAAGUGGAUACUUUUAUUUAACCAUUUGUCAUCUGAACCCCUCAACCCAUCAAAAUCCAGUACGUUGAACCUUUCUUAUGCAUAUGUGGCAUUAAAUAGCU